GAUUAUGGUGUUAACAUAUGAAUUCUCAAUGGACAAAAAUAGUAACCUGUAACAAACAAGGGCAAGGAGAAGGAAGAGGAGGAGGAGGAAGAGAAGGAGGAGGAAGUUGAGGAGGAGGAAGAGCAAGUGAAGGGAGAGGAGGAACAUUUUAAACUGCUUUGAAUGCUACCAGUACAAAUAUGUACCAAUAUUGCUCUAAUAUUUUCCUAGUUAAUUUCUCAAGUUCCACACCUACUCUAUUAACAGAAAACCCAGUUUCUAGGGAGCGCUAGGAGCAGCAUCUAUGCCAGAGUUGUUUAAAAUUUAUGAUGAAUCCAAUGCCGGGUUUAUGAAAGGAAGCUCCAACUUUCCUGGAUGUUUGCUUCACUGUCUCCACUUCAUCCUUGCAGGGAGCUGGCUGUGGUGGAGCUGAUGGGCUGGGCUGGGAUUUGCGCCUUAGCAGCUACUGCUCUUCUGUCUCUUCUGGCACAAGUUGACACAGUCUUUGAACAAGGAAUCCAGUUCUGAACUACUUGAUUACAGAGAUGUUUAUAAAAUAUACAAACAUUUGGCAAAUGAAUCAGCAAAG
rnacentral:lncRNA from 1 species